CCCUUAGAUGUUCUGGGCCGCACGCGCGCUACACUGAUGCAUUCAACGAGCCUAUCCUUGACCGACAGGUCCGGGUAAUCUUUGAAUCUGCAUCGUGACGGGGAUAGAUUAUUGCAAUUAUUAAUCUUCAACGAGGAAUGCCUAGUAGGCGCAAGUCAUCAGCUUGCGUCGAUUACGUCCCUGCCCUUUGUACACACCGCCCGUCGCUCCUACCGAUUGGGUGUGCUGGUGAAAUGUUCGGAUCGGCCGUUUGUCGCGGUUUCCGCGUCAUGUGGCUGAGAAGUUCAUUAAACCCUCCCACCUAUAGGAAGGAGAAGUCGUAACA
rnacentral:rRNA from 1 species